rnacentral:lncRNA from 1 species
AUAGGUGUAAAAUACAACAAGCAAUAAAUAUUUUCAAGUUCUAAUAACUGCACCCCUGUACAAUCCUCUCCGGAUCACAAAUUCGUCAGGAGGUUGAAAAUUCUUCUAGCCAAGUCACAUCCAAAACCGUAACUCAAUCCAACUCAAGAUUUACUGCAAGCAAAACAAACAUGGGCAAUAGUACUAUGAACAAUAUUUCACAAGGUUCGGUAAGAACACAUGACAAGAAAAUUAAAUGAAAUAAAUUACCUGGAAGUUCUUUUCUUUGUGAUUGCCGGAAGUGGAGUCAGCUCUUCCAUCCUCUGAAGACUAUGGUGUGGAGAUAAAAUGUCAAAGACUGCACAAGGUGUUAUGGCUUGAAGAUAAUUGAUGUUUCUUCCACUUGUAGGAUAAAGAAUUGCUGUUGGACUUUGUGCAGGUCUAACUGUUGCCUGUUAAUCACAGAUUAGCAAAAAAAAAUUGGUUUCAGGAAAAUGAAUUUGAAUUAUUAAUCAAAUUACCUAUUAGUUACAUCAAAACCAUAUAUUUCCUUCAUGUGAUUAGUAAAUUUCAUGCAAUCUCCAUGUGUUGAUCACUGGAUCAAAUUUUACGAUUCAAUAUUAAGAAUGCUCUGGUCAAGGGUCGUUGGAAGAAGGCAAAAGAAAUAAAGAAAUUGUGGAAGCAUAUUAGGUUGGUUCGCCUGUUGAUAUAUAUAUGUGAUCUAUUUUGGGGUAUUGUGAGGAAACCUUGUGACCUGAAAACAUUUAAAGCAAAAUAUGGUUCUCGAUCUAAUCUAGGACAAAACGUAGGGAUAUGGAAAUGGUUAUUUGUGAGCUUAUUUCUUGAGUUUGCACUUGGCAAUAUUUUGAUAUAUAUGAAAUUGUAUUUAACAAAAUUGCUGUUCACAUUGUGUCAAACUCAAACCUAUUUUUUUCAUGAAAUAACUUACUUAGUUGGCUUCAGAGAAGAUUAUUGAGUAGGCCAACUCUAGUGAUUAAUGAUAAGCUUGCAAAUAUUCUCAUGAAAUUCUUCACGCACUCCAGAUUUACUUCAUUUGUAACAAGAUUGAUCCAUACAUAUGACUUGUAUGCACCAACUUGAGGACGACUGUUGGAAAGUAUCUCUCCUAUUUAGGGAGAAUAUAAUCAAUUUAGUGCUAUAUACAAUUUGUUUCUAGUUUUGUCAUAUAACUAGUCUUGUAUAUAUAAAAUUGAUUGUAAUGAGGAAUUCCUCAAAAAAUUCAAUGAAUACUUUCUCAUCAUUAUAAUAUUACCAAAUAGGAAUAGAGCACGAAUGAGAGUAUGUAAAGCAAUAGAAACAAGAAUGUCCGGUAACAGGUUAUAAAGCUGAAAGUAAAAAAAUAUACAGAUUAACAAUAAUAGCAAACCUUACAGUGAGACUUACAGCGUCUUUUGGCCCCAUAUUCAGUCAUGUUUUCUUGAUUCCCCGGUAGAUAAGAAGUGCAUCAGACAGGUGCCUAUGUGACUCAAGAGCUGAAACAAGGACGUUACUAAUUUUAUUUAAGCUCUCUGAUAUGGAUUUACAAGAUGCUCUGUCCAUUAAAAAGUAGUUACAAAAGGGAAAGUGAAGAAAAGCACAGCAUAUUUACACAAAAAUGAAUAAUAAGUAUUUAAUUUGAGCUGAUUAUUAGUAUUGAAUUAGUAAAACUGAACUGUGUGUAUGACCAAAGCUCGCCGUCAAGUUCAUAAUACAAGCGGAUUCAGGACAGGUGGGAAAAAACGGAUAUUAUCAAAAUAGAUAGUUCAUUGAAAAUAUAUAACCUCUCCAAAGUAGAACGCAUAACCUGUCCAAGCUCAUAGUUCUAUCUUCAUUUUCAAUUUUUGUGUAAGCGAAGGUAGAUCUUUUGACCAAUAUCAGAAAUUGCAUUCUUCAUAAUAUGUCAAUAUAAGAAAUCUAUGAUUAAACAAACUAAGAAUAUGUAAAAUAAGGAGAAUAGCUGUUAUGUGUAAGUAGCUGCAGCUGGUGUAAGAAAGCUAAAGCAAAAAUUAAGUUGGUUAAAUUAGCAGAGUUCCCCAAAAUAAUCGUCGCAUUUUAUCCCAAAAAGGACUUCAAAGUCAAGCCUAUGCAGUGCUGACUAGUUCAGAAAGUAAAUAUGGUUAGCUAUAUCAAUUUGGUUAUUAAAAUUUAGUGUUAAAAGUAAUUAAGUAACCUAGAAGUUUCAUAAAUUUAAGGUCCAUGUAGUAUUGAAAAAUAUAAAUACAAAAAUUAUAUCACAAUUCAGUAUGUAUUCUAGGGACGAAAUUGCUAGCUCUUUUUGUUUGAAAAAUUAACAGUAAUUCUUUCUUCUCACCUUGUUACCGACAAAUGGAAUUUCGGACAAUUGCAGACUGAUUCCAAAUUGAGGAUCCGAUUGCCUAUUGAUUCCAACCAUUGUUGACCAGUACCACCUAAUGCAAACCUUGUUGUAAUUUCAAAGUUGAUUGGAAGUGCAGCUGAAAUGAAAUCGCUACAGCUUAUGAUCUAUUUAAUCAGAUGAAUCAUCGCGGAUAAUGGAUAUGGUUGUGGUAGAAACUAAUCUUCAAUUGCCAAAAACUUGCGCUUCUGUGCAAACGGAUUUCUGUGGUGCAUCACUGUUGAGUUAAACUGUUUUAGAUCCUGUUUGAAUACAUAACGAUACCCACAUGUUUUCACAUCCACAUGCAACCCGUUUCCGUCCUCAAGGCAAGCUGUCAUUGUGAUAUGAUCAACAUCUUUGAAUGCUUUGUUCUGAUAGCUCAGAGAAUCCCUAGGGACAUAUAUUAGCCAUGUGUGGUUUGAUUCGAGUGUAAUAAGAUCUCCAUAAAAAAUUACCGGACACAUAAAUUCAAGUGUAGCAGUAUGACAAUCAAAAACUAGCGAUAUGUCUGGUCCGAAUUCCUUUGUUGUCAUAGUUGGAUCAUCAAAUGUCACAGAAAAUACGACACAACAAGCAAGGCCAAUGAAAUUACUGUCAUGCAAAGUAGGAGAUAAGUCUAUGCGUGUUGAUUUACCUACGCACUGGUUGUUCAACCAGCUUGGUAUUUCACUUCCAGGAAUAACGAUACCAAUAGUCCCACGAAAGCAGGCAAGAGAUUCUUGGUUAGCCUGAACAAAUUGUAUCAACCAUAAUAAAGUCAUGCUACUAUAUUGAUCCUUCUCCCCCAAUUCAGGACAGUUGAAAAUAUACAAUCCCCACUUCUUCCAAUAUUCAUCCCACUUGAUAACAGAAGGUGAAGAGUGAGGCAAAGGGAGCUCAGGCAAAAAUUUCAAUUGCUUGCAGUGCUGUAAGUCUAAAUAUACCAGAUUAGAAAGCUCCCUGAAACUAGGCAGAGUCACAAAAUUGUUUCCCAUUAAAAUUAAUCUUCCUAGCCAUGGUAUACAUCCAAUUGCAUCUGGCAUUUGGCUCAGACCACAAAAACUAAUAUCAAGUUCCCACAAAAAGGAAAAGCUAAGCAAGGAUGACAACAAACGACUAACUAAACCUUUGUCUGCAUUAUGAUACAAGGAGGAAGUUGUUGACUGGGAAUGUAAUACAAUUUCACUCGAAUCAAGUUUAUUCAAAUGCCUUGUAUUGGUAAACACUUUGGAACACCAGGAAAGAUUUAGAUAUUUAAGAGAGGUGAGACCAAAUAUGUUGUUAGGUAUGCUUAUUAGAUUUUUGCAAUUUUUCAAGUUCAAGAAUACAAGCUUUCUCAGAAGACCAAUAGAUGGAUCUAUUUGCACAAGAUUUACACAUCCGUCGAGAUUCAGCCGCUCAAGAUUUGGAACCUCUCCAAAAUUUGGCAUCUUGAUUAGGUGUUUGGAGUACAUCAGAUCCAUAGUUUUCAAAUUGGGCAGAUACUGUGAUGAAAAAUACCAACAAAAAUGGAAACGUUAUUUACUAUUGUUUAAAUGCUUUUAUUCCUUGUAAACAUUCCAUUUUUUUACUUUUUAGUCCUUGUAAUUAUUUUCUAAGUGAGAUACUGUGAUGCAAAAAAAUGGAAGAAAAUCAUUUGAUUUAUUUUCUAAGUGAGGGAGAAAUUAAGUACAUAAUUUAUAGUACCUUCUUGCCUUCCCAUAGUUGUUGGAUGCUGCUACGCCACAAAUAAAGUUCAACAAGCUGGUUGGGCUGAAAACUUUUUGGCAAACACAUGAAAGGAUAGCAUGUCCACUUAAAAUAUCUCAAUUCAUUUGAAAGAUAAUUCAGGCUUCCUGAAAUAUACACACCCCUGUCAAAUAUAAGUAAUCUAAGAUGACUCAUACUUGACAAUGUUUCCGCCACCAAUGUUUUUAUUUGUCUUGGAUGACAAAUAACUACGGCUUCAACAUUCUUUUCCUGAAAUAUAUAGCAAAAAAAGGAAGAGAAUAUAUUAAUUUAAUAUAUAUUAUAUAUAACUUUUAUAAAAAUAAAAAUAGAAAUAAGCUUUAUGUUUUCCAACAACUACUUUACCAUAUUCUCCAACAUUACAUUGUUGAAAUGUUCGAGGGACCACAACCUGCUCCACUUUCUCAAGUCUUUGGUCGAAUUUUCUUGAACAAUUUUCCGGCCCAACUCUACCAACAAACUAUGCAUUGUAAUAUUAGUUCCGUAAGAAAUGCUUAUAAGGGAUUUAUCAAUGAGAAUUCUUAAUCCGAUAUCAGCAUGAAACCCACGACAAUUUAGAAUAUUUGUAACACAUUCCUUGUUGUACCCUUUGAAAAAACAAGCAAUAUCAAGAAAUAUAUCUUUUUCCAUAUUCUCUAGCCCUUCAAAACUUAAUCGCAACACAUCCAUAAUAUCUUUGAUUGGACAUUCUCUCAAUCUAGCCAAUUUACUUCUCCAUUCAGAGAUAUCUCGACCAAACAAAAAUGAGCCCAAUACUUUAAUAGCUAGUGGUAGGCCAUUGGCAUAAGAUAGUGUGUCAAGUGCCAUUUUAUCAUAACCACUCAUAACAUGCUCAAGUUUGAAAGCUUUUUGACAAAAUAAUUGAAGAGAGUUGGUCUCAUUCAAGAGUGGAACUUUGUAAACUUCAUCAACUCCAUACUCAUUCAAGAUAUGCUCAUCUCUAGAAAUUAUAAUGAUUCUACUCCCUGCACCUAAAUAUUCACGAUUUAAAGCUAACUUAUCGAGCUGUUCAACUUUAUCAACAUUAUCGAGAAUGAUAAGUGCUCGUAGCCGACGUAACCUACGUCGUAUCAAAUCAUCCGUGUCAAAGAGAUUGCAUAUCUGAAAGUGUUCCUUGCCAAAAGUUUGGUGUAGAAUUUGCUUUUGUGCACCAACUUGACCAUCAUGUCUAUAUAUUUUGCUUAGAUCAUCAAUAAAACAACGUGCAUCAAAUUGAUGAGAGAUUUGACCAUAUAAAGCAGUAGUCAGAGUUGUCUUCCCUAUUCCACCCAUCCCACAAAUUCCUACAACCCGAACAUCAUCAACCGAGUCCAAAAGUAAUAGAUUUACUACUUUUUCUAUAUGAGGAUUCAUACCAACUAGUUCUUUUGGAAGAGAUGAAAAGUUGUGACCCAAUAUAUUCAAUAUCUCUUCAACAAUCUUUUUAAUCUCAGCAUAUUGAGGCCUAAAAGUUUAAAAGAAAUCAACCAAUAACACUGAAUCAUUACUUAAGAAAAUUAAAACAAAAAGCAUGUGAACAUACAAAGAUAACAUCUAAUUUUUCUUCAAAAAAAUUGCGAAGAUAACAUAAUUUUGUUCAUCCUUGUAGAGAACUGUCUUGCUUAACCAUAGUUUAAAGAGGGAAAGUGAAAUCUGCUUAACUAUACAUGGUUAAAUUUAAUUGUCAAAGCCUUAAAAUCUGCUUAUGUAAAAGUAAAACAAUCAAUUAAUAGAAUAUUGCUUACUUAUCACGAAGAUCCCAGCCAGAGAUAUUCCCCACUUGUGUCAGAGCUUCCCUCCAACUUUGUACCACAUGAGAUUCAUGUUGGAAUGUUUGUUCAUGUUUGGAAAAGGCUUCACCGUAAAUUCCUUUUUGAUGUCUCACCUCAGAAGGAUCAACAUCAUAAAAAACAGGAAGAACACGUCUUCCAGAAACUUGACUGCAGUCAAGGAUGUGUACCAAUUCUCGCAAGCACCAAGUUGAGGAAGCAUAGUUUUUGGAGAGGACCGCAAUGAAAACCUGAGACCCUUCAAUUGCACGAAUGAGCUCGGGUGGUAUGGAUUCACCUUUUUGAAGAUUAGUGUCGUCUCUAAAUGCAAAAAUGCCUUUUCUUUGAAGGGCAGCAAAAAGAUGAUCAAUGAAGUUGAAGCGAGUAUCUUCGCCUCUAAAGGUGACAAACACAUCAUAAUAAUUCUUCCUCCUUGGCAAUGCCAUAAGAGCUGAAGAAGAGGAGUUGCUGCUGCUAGCCAUCUGAAUAUGCUAAAUUGAUUAUGAAUGCUGAGUUCCUAUGAAAUUAUCAGUGGUGCUUCUCAAGUCUCAAGUCUCAACUAUAUAUUAUUAAAAUUCUUAUAUAUUGUCAUAUAAGGACAAAGCAAUUCUUAUACCCCACUCAUUUUACAAAGCAAAAUAAAUUGGACAAAAAGAGAUAAAAUCUUUCUCCUUUUUUACUUUUUGAAAAAUAGAAUGCAUAAUUUCUAAUAUAAUUUUUUUAUUUUUGAUAUACUAACUUGUGUUCUUGGCAUUUACCUAAAAAGACACUAAUUAAUACGACAAAUAUUGAGUAAUUUGUUCUAGUUAUUCUUUUUUUAAACAAUAGUAAUUUGUUUUAGUUGGAUUAAGAAUAUACCACAAUGAAAAUUUUCUGUGAAUACAGUAAAAGGAGUACUCGCCCCUUAAGCAUGAUGUAAUAUAACUUGGGGCUAUUAUCUUAUCUUCUUACCCCUUAAAGUUUUUACAAGACAGUUUACUUAAAUGUUUAAUUUUUAUUUAAUUCACUUCUUAUUAUCGGUGCUUCAUUUUCGUCAUAAGAAGAGCCAGAUGCUUCCAAUUUUUAUCUUCUUUAUAUUAUAAUAUUAUUUCAUCUUUUUUCCUGUGCUGCCCUUAUUUGUGCAUUUGAUUGGAGCUAUGUUUUCUCAUAUUAUUGGUUGUAGUUAACACACAAAAAUAACUUCUAUCAUUUCUUUUCUUUGUCUACUCUAUAUACUUAGUUGGACACAACCCCAAAUCAAAAGUAUUUAGGCACAUACACAUGCAUAAGUGGUAAAAUUUAGAAGAGAAAUAAUUUAGUCACGUCGUUUAAUAUCACUUCACUUUUAAAUUUUAGGGUUAAUAUAUGUUUACCUAGCGGUUUCUGAUUUACCUUAUAAAAGUAAAAGAUUCCAACCCUGUAAUUUGAAUAUUCUUUGGUGUUGGACCUUCAUAAAUUUUGACAGUACAAAAUAGUACAAAAUCAAUGAUAUGGCAGGGAUAAACCAAAAUAUUCUUAAUAUUACAGGAGGUAAACAUAUAUUAACCCUAAAUUUAUCAUCUAUGUGUGAGUGUCCAAAUGAGUUUUAUUUAGUGAUUCCAACCAUUGUUGACCACCAGUACCACCAAAUGCAAACCUUGCUGUAGUUUCAAAGUUGAAUGGAAGUCCAGCUGAAAUGCAGUUGCUACAGCUUAUGAUCUAUUUAAUCAGAUGAAUCAUUGUGGAUGUGGCUUCCUAGCAAACGAAUUCCUGUGGUGCAUCAUUGUUGAGUGAAACUGUUGUAGAUCCUGUUUAAAUACACAACGAUAUCCACAUUUCUCCACCUCCACAUGCAAACCUUUUCCGUCCACAGGGACAAUUUUCAUUGUGAUAUAAUCAACAUCGCUGAUUGCUGUGCUCGUAAGGCUCAGAAAAUCAAAUAAUGUUUCCCAAGGGAUAUAGAUGAGCCACAUGUGGUUUGAUUCGACUGUAAUAAGAUUUCUAUAAAAAUUUACUGGACAAAGAGUAAAAGCCCAUCGGUAAAAGUAUUGCCACAUUCAAAGCUUAGCCCCAUGAAAGGCCAAUCACUUGUUGUCAUUGUUGAAUCACCAAAUGUCACAGAAAAUACUACACAGCAAGCAAGACUAAUAAAAUUAAUGUCAUCCAUAAUAGGAGAUAGGUCUAUUUCAAGAUGAAGUAAAUUGUUGAUUGAGAAAAGCUACUUAAAUCUUUCUGUGAUUUAUGAUACCAGGAAUGUGAACCGGUCCAUUUCAAGAUCGAGUAAAUUGUUAAUGGAGAAUGUGAUGAACUUUCACUUGAAUUGAGGUUCUUCAAUUGCAUUGGAUUGUUAAACACUUUGGAACACCCGGAAAGAUUUAGAUAUUUAAGAGAGGUGAGACCAAAUAUGUUGUUGGGUAUGCUUAUUAGAUUUUCACAAACAUUUAAAAACAUUAUAAAUACUAGUAAAUGUACUUUUUAUAUCUAAUUCAAAAAUUUAAGAGUCGUAAAAUUAAUUUAUGAGUAGUAAAUUAGUUUUAAUAAAAAUUAAAACUACACAUGCAAACAGUUGCUGUGGUGUAGUGGUUAUCACGUCAGUCUUACACACUGAAGGUCUCCAGUUCGAUCCUGGGUAGCAACAUUUAAUUUCCUUUUUGCCAUACAGAGCUUAGAAUAGCCCCCCCCCCCCCCCUCGCAAGUGGGCGGUGGGAUUGGCCCCCUUAGAUUGAUCUAGGGCAGCAGCAUUUAAUUUCCUUUAGUCAGUCCUUGCAUCGGAUACUGAGUUUUAAAAAAAAAUAAAAAAUUAAAACUACAUCCAUCGACAAAUAAAACAAAGUAAGAAAUAAGUAAGCUUAUAAGGUCCCAAUUUUGUAAGGACGAAAAAUAUAUAGUUGAUUGGGGUGAAAACUUGUAGGCAAAUACAUGAAAGGAUAUUCAGUCCACUCAACAUAUCUCAAUUCAUUUCAAAGAUGACUCAAGGUUCCUGAAAAAUACACAUACAUGUUGAACAUAAGUAAUCUAAGAUGAUCCAUAUUUGACAAUGUUUCUGUCGCCAAUGUUUCUAUUUCGCUUGGAUAUUGCUUCUUCAAAACUAUGGCUUCAACGUUCUUUUUUUUGUCAGAAAUGCUAACAAGUGAUUUCUGAAUGAGAACUUUUAAUCCAAUAACAGGGUGGAGUCCACAACAAUUAAGAACAUUGUUAACAAAUUGCUCGUGAUGCCCGUUAAAUAAACAAACAAUAUCAAGAAAUAUCACAUUUUCCGAUUCCUCUAGUCCUUCAAAACUUAAUCGCAGCACAUCCAUAAUAUCUUUAUUUGGAUUUUCUCUCAAUCUAGCCAAUGCACUUGUCCAUUCAGAGAUAUUUCGACCACACAAAAUGAGCCCAAUACUUUAAUUGCCGGUGGUAGGCCAUCAACAUAAUUUAAUAUGACAUGUCAACUCCUCAUAGUUACUUUUAAUUUUACCACCUUGGAAAGCUUUUUGACAAAAUUAAUUGACGAUUUCAUCAACUUCGUACUCUUUCAAGAUAUGAACAUCUCUAGAAGUUAUAACAAUUCUACUCCCAGCACCUAAACAUUCACUACUCACAGCUAAUUUCUCCUGCUGUUCAACUUGAUCAACAUUAUCAAGAACUAGAAGGGCUCUUAUAUGACCUAGCUUGAGUCGUAUCAAAUUAGUUUUUGUUGUAAAGAUUGCAUAUCUGAAGGUGCUGUUUGCUAAGAGUUUGAUGUAGUGCUUGCUUUUGAGCACCAAUCGACCUUCAUUUCUAUAAACUUUGCUUAUAUCAUCGAUGAAGCAGCAUGCAUCAAAUUGAUGAGAGAUUCUGUCAUAAAGAGCAGUAGCUAGAGUCGUCUUUCCUAUUCCUCCCAUUCCAUAAAUUCCUACAACCUGUAUAAUAUCAGUUGAUUCCAAAAGUAAACACUUUUUCUAAUUCUUCUAUAAGAGAAUCAAUCCCAACUAAAUCUUUUGGAAGACUUGAAAACCGGUAACCCAAUCUAUUUAUUAUCUCUUCAACAAUCUUUUCAAUCACUAUAUAUUGGUGUAUGGAAUUUUGAAAAAGAUUAUUGGUAAUGUCAAACCAUCAUCACAUAAGUAAACCUAAACAAAAAGCACAUGUGUAAGACAAGAUAACAUUCUUUUUUCCUCACAGAAAACUUUUGUUCUGAGGCAAAUAAAUUCCAACCCAAUUUGCAUCUUAAAUCUUCCAGAGAUUAUACAGUACUCUCAAGUCUCAACUCUAGUUUAAAAGGCAAAAGUGUAUUCAAAUAUAUGCAGUAUAUGGCAGAUUCAAACAUAUGUGGUGGUAUAUGGCAGAGUGUCUUGGUAAUUAAUGAAUUUAUUUGGCUUGAAAUAUGCAUAAGCACGAGCGUCAAUAAGCUCUUGUUUGGAUAAAAAAAAAAAAAAAAACUUAAUUAAGUGUUUGAAGCAUAGACGCUUCAUAUAUUAGUGCUUAUGUAUAAAGUGAUUUAAACAAUAAAAGAUUAAAUAAUGUUAAACUGUUUUCAUAUAAGUUAACAGUUGUUUUGAUGAACUAACAUGGAGAGCUUUCGAAAAUAAGUUGGAAGCUGAAAACAACUUAUGGAUAUGACAUAAACAUUUUAUAUAAGCUGUCACAAGAAAGAUUGCUUACUUAUGACGCAUAUCCCAUCCAGAGAUAUUUCAACCUUUUAUCAAAAUUGGGAAUUUGGGUAGCAAGCUUUAGAUUGGUUUUAUAAUAGUUUGAUGAGCAUAAAGAUACUGUAGAACAACAGGCACAACGUAACCUAGAUAUUGAUGCUGUCGGGUGUAUAAUUCUGUUUGCUUCCCCAAUGGAAACUUGUAGUUUUGUAUGAUUUUUAGGAUGUGCAAUUUUCCAAGGGAUAUUAUUCCUUAAUCCUUACUUAUAAGCUAAGUUGUGCAUCUCAAGUCUCAACUAUAUAUUUAUUAAAACUCUUACUGGUAUUAUAUCCGCACAAACUAUAUACCCCACUCUUUUGUUUUUUUACAAAUAUACACUCAUUUGUACUCCCUCGCAUCCACAAGAAAGAAAAACCAAAAAACAUCAAGACCACCCAUACAAUCAUCGAUUGUUAUACUUUUUUAAAUACAUCUACCAAUAUUAAAAGAGUAAUGAUAAAUAUCCGCGAGUAAAAAUUCUCAUGAAGCCUUCACGACAUACACCAUGCCCACCGUUUUUUCCAGCCAAUCCAAUAUUAGAAUAAAAAAAACGGUUUUGUCAUUUUAUUUAAAAGUGAAAACAUGCUUCGCGAGGCUUUAGGGAUAGAGAAGUUCGCUUUAUAUAACACUUCUCAUAUUAAAAAGACACCUGAAAAAUUAACUCUCAUUCAAGUUUGCGGGACUAUAAUUUCUGUCUCCUCCUUUUCACAAAGUCCUCCCCUCCUAAACUCCCAAACAUAAUCUUAAGGUGGCUGAAUCCCUAAUCUUUAUAAAGCUAAGAAUAAAAUCAAUAUAUAAAGUUGGUCAAGUUGAUAAGAAUUUGCUUCAAAUUCCAUACGGAUCUGUGUUUGAAUCUUGUUCCCGAUGUGAGGACUUCGUAAUGGAUAACAUGUGCAUAUGCCAACGUGCUCUCUAAGUCCAGAGAUGUUCCCUGAUCCUUAAAGUUUAUACGAUUUGAAUCUCGGGAACUCGCCAAGAUCGGAGAACGUCUCUAGAUUCAUAUAUAGUGUGCUGGUACUUACAUGUUACCCACCAACAAAGUCCUGCAGCAAAAUUUGAGGCCUGAUCCUUAUGAAAGUGAGCUGAAUGUUAUCAUCUUAACCAAAUUUAUAUAUUUAUAUUGAUCUUAUUCUUAGCUUUAUAAAGAUUGGGGUACUAGCCACCCCCAACCAACCUAAAUUGUAUUGAUAUAUUUUAGUACGAUUUUUAUCAUUUUGAAUGCAACAGGGACAUCAAACUUUGAAACUUUCCAAUACAAAGGGUUUUUGAGAAUUGAAAAGUUUAAGAUAGCUUUCAAGUCACAAUAAUACCCUUUUUUCUUAUUCUUCAAUGUACAAUUUGAUGGAGGUACUCACAAUCACAAGUUUUAUUUUAAACUUAGGCAACUAUUCUAGCAGAUUAAGCUGUGUCUGCAAACAAGUUACAUUUACUGUAUACAUUAUUAUGUACAAACCCAAAUGUCAAACUGACUUAGACAAAGAAUAGUAUUAUUACUUCACAUAUCACUGUUCCUUUUGUUGCAACCAAAAAGAUAUGAAGGAAAUUUCUUUUAUGGUGUAAAAUACAACAAACAAUAAAGAUUUUCAAGUUCUAAUUACCGGACCCCUGUACAAUCCUCUCCGGAUCACAAAGUCGUCAGGAGGUUGAAACUCUUCCAGCCAUGUCACUUCCGAAACUGUAACUCCAUCCAACUCAAGAUUAACUGCAAGCAAAAUAAGCACGGACAAUAUAGUACAAAUAAUGUUCCACACCGUUCAAUAAGAAGACGCGACAAGAAAAUUAAAUGAGAUUAAUUACCUGG